rnacentral:lncRNA from 1 species
AGUUAAUAUAAUUCUAAGAGUUAUGGUCGACAUGGUUAGUUAUAAUCUUUGCUGAAAACUUGGGUGGUCUUGAAGCUUAUUUAUGAAACAAGAGCAAAAGAGUUCGUAAAAGUUUUUCUUUUCACUUUCAGUUUAUCAACUGAAUUGCUUGAGGACAAGCAAAGGUUUAAGCUUGGGGGAGUUGAUACGUAUCCAACGUAUCUACUUUUCCUAACGCUUUUCCUCUUGUUUUGGACUCUAAUUUGCAUGAUUUGAAUGAAACUAAUCCCGGACUGACACUG